rnacentral:lncRNA from 1 species
GGGAGAGAGAGAGAGGUAUCGAUAGGGGUGGAGUGGAGGUCUAUCUUUUUGUCUUUUAUUUUUAUUUCAUAAAGUAUUAAAAUAAAUAAGAAAAGAAAAUACAAAACUGAAAUUAAAAGGGUAAAUAGGUAAUUUUAAAUUUUUUUGGACCAAAAACCCAGAAAACCUUGAUUUUAGACCUUCUGUGCAAGUUGGAAACUUUUUGGACUCCAUCUAAAGAUUUUUGCAAACCACAAGGACCAAAUUUGAAGUUUUGUCGUAUUUAAUAACAUUGUAUUUUGCAAUUCAAACCAUAAAAAUGGCAACGCUCACAAAAUCAGGCUACACAUAAUAAGUAGUAAUUAUUAUAAUUAAAAUCCUUCAAUAGGAUAAACUAUAGUCGUGCGCACUGCAGACUAUAUAAUAAAAGUUUCAUAUUAAGGAACAAUAGGAAAAAUCAACCAAAUCGCCCGUAAAUCGUAAAANUACCUGUUACAAAGAUCUAAUCGAUCUUCACGUUUAUUUAAUAUUUUAACAAUAUAUGUGUAUAUAUAUAUAUAUAUAUAUAUAUAUAUGUAUAUAUAUAUAGAUACUACAAGUCGUCCUGAUCCCGAAUAUAUAAAUUUCGUAGAAAUCCAACUCCGUGUGAAUUAGAUAUGAUUUUUAUAAAAUAUAAAAGUCAGGUGCAUGCAAGGAAUAUGUGACGUAAAAGGCUAUGAGAAAAUGAUUGACUUUUAGUUAAAGUUACAAAAAGGAAAGUCAUAGUACUCUUUAGGGUUGGAAUUUUGAGAAAAAGAAUACCUAAAAUGAAGUCCAUACGAGAGAGUUAUGAUUUUAGCAAAAUCAUUUAAUUGUAUAAAAAUAGGGAUGAAAAAUAAAGUCAGAAUUAGCUGAUGGAGUCUAAAGUAAAGUUGUAGAUCUCACUGAGAGCUUUCAGGGGAUAUAAAGAACAUUAAAAACAGAGCUCGUAUGAAGAAAUUACAGAACUUACAAAAUAUGAGUUUUUGGAUUUAUCAGUGAUUCCAAGUUAUAAUACAAAUUGAUCUACUUACGGGAGAGGUGUCUAGAAUGGUCAUGUUCUGAAAUGGUCUUGCCUCCCAAAUGUCCUGCUUGGCUGAUCCUUACUUUAUAGAUCUUGAUGUGGACAUUGGGAUUAGUGAGGUAUCUAGACUGUAAUCAUUAUAGUCACCAAGAUUAUGAAAAUAGACUAAGGCUUAGUACUUUAUGCAUCUAGAUCUUUCGAAAGUAUGAAGUGAGGCCCUGCCAAAAUUGCCAGUCACCCACCCAAUUCAAGUGAGCGUGUAGUCCCUUUCAUGAACAUGAUUUAACACAAGUAUUAAAUAUAUGUUGGUAAUCGUAUAUGAAUUAUAUGCUUAUUGUUCGGAUUUAAAUGUUAAUUAUAUAUUAUGCUAUGGGAGAACCAAAUCGGGUUCUAUUUUAUGUCAGGGUUAAAUAGAUAUUAUCAUGAAAUAGUAUUAAAAGUAGCAUUGCUGAGAAGAUAAAAGAAUAAUGCUAUGUAUGGAAUAUAAAUACUCUAGAGAUAGGUUAGUGUCACCCAAGAAUAGAGUUGAUAUUAAACGUUGGUUACAGGCAUUGUAGUCUAGUCUAGGGAUAAACUUAGACUUGUGGAAGGUACCUAUUUCAAUUAAGUUUGAUAUAAGGUAGUCUCAUUAGGCGAAUGUGUGUAACCUAUGGACGGAGAGUGAAUUUUUGUUCCAUGACACUUUCAGGUGUCAAUGUACGGUAGCUCCGUAUGAGAGUACGAUAUAGUAUUCCCCUUGGGAUGACCAGAUAUGGUGGGUCCCGAUCAGACAGCUGUAAUGGUAUACCUGCAUAUUUUUAGAUAACCAUAAUUGGUAGGUCCUUGUCAGACAACUGUAAUGGUAUCUCUGCAUAUUCUUAGUGACUUACACAGGCCAAGGAAGCCCUUAAGUCUAUAGUCAAUCUUUUAUUGUUUCAUCAGGCGAGAUAAUUUUCCCAUGAUAAUGAUGGCCUAGGAUCUGUGAGGAUCGGUAGGAAUGGAUAUUUAUAUAUAUAUAUAUNNNNNNNNNNNNNNNNNNNNNNNNNNNNNNNNNNNNNNNNNNNNNNNNNNNNNNNNNNNNNNNNNNNNNNNNNNNNNNNNNNNNNNNNNNNNNNNNNNNNNNNNNNNNNNNNNNNNNNNNNNNNNNNNNNNNNNNNNNNNNNNNNNNNNNNNNNNNNNNNNNNNNNNNNNNNNNNNNNNNNNNNNNNNNNNNNNNNNNNNNNNNNNNNNNNNNNNNNNNNNNNNNNAUAUAUAGGAACAUAAGCCUAUAUAGAUAUAGUAUGGUAAUGGUUGGUUUUGUAGGUCUGAUAAUUUAGGAAUAUUAUCAUAUUGAUAUUAUGGAACUAAAAUCCCUAUGUAUCUCACUAGGUUUCCCCAACCUGACUCACUCAGUUUAUAUGCAUCAAAAGUAUCAAUACUUAAGCUACUGGAACUUGGUUAAGAUGUUGAGUGAUUAAGAGACAAUCUGCAAUAGUAUUUAGGACCAUCAGGUUUUUACGCUGUAACUUAUGUAUCUGUAUUGAUUAUGACUUCCUUAGGGUCUUAACAUUUUGGAAACAAACAUUUGUAAUCAAAAUGAGCUUUUGUACUGGGAUUUUCCGCAAAUAUAAAUAAAUGAUUUUUUCAGCGUAAAGAAAAGUUUUAAUUGGUUCUGAAAAUUAGAAGCAUGUCACAGUCGGUAUCAAAACAUUAGUUUAAUCGAACUAGGAAUUUGUAUGAUUUCUAGAUUUAAAAUUAGAGGUUAUGCAAUGAUGGUGAGGUGUGUGUCUAGGAUAGUUUAGGUUGUAUGCUUGAAUAGACACAAACACAUAUAUAUAUCAUAACGUAGGUUAAAAACCUUAUUUGCUAUAUUAUGCACUAGCAUACUUUAUAAAUGCCUUAUAUGUGCUAAAUGAUAUGUAUAGCAUGCCUUAGGUUUUUUUUUACCUAGAUUGCUAAGUACUAGAAAAGUUAAGGUCUGUUACUGACCCCUAGUAUUAGGAAAUUUUAUGUGUUCAGAUUUCUAAACGUUUAAUUAUUGUANNNNNNNNNNNNNNNNNNNNNNNNNNNNNNNNNNNNNNNNNNNNNNNNNNNNNNNNNNNNNNNNNNNNNNNNNNNNNNNNNNNNNNNNNNNNNNNNNNNNNNNNNNNNNNNNNNNNNNNNNNNNNNNNNNNNNNNNNNNNNNNNNNNNNNNNNNNNNNNNNNNNNNNNNNNNNNNNNNNNNNNNNNNNNNNNNNNNNNNNNNNNNNNNNNNNNNNNNNNNNNNNNNNNNNNNNNNNNNNNNNNNNNNNNNNNNNAUAUAUAUAUAUAUAUAUAUAAUUUCAUGACAAUCACAAGGAGCAGUAGAGUCGUCAAUAACGAAGGAGGUCCAGCACCUCAAAAUGUUGGAGUAGUUGUUGUUCAAAUCCCGAUGAAUAAAGCUCGGGCAAUGAUGCAAGAAAUGAUUGAUUAGCGGCGACGUGAUUUUAUGGAGCUCUUAGCUCAGGAGCUAGCUAGUGCUAAAGGAUGAGCACCAUUGGUAAUGAAAUAAUUCAACAAUGAAACGAUUUCUUCACAUUUCAUGACAGUCCAGGAAGGAAAUAAUGAUGACUCGGAAAGUUAUUAAGCAUUGGAGCAACUAGAGGUCCAGAGAAAUGACGAACCCAAAGGUUACUGCAAGUAUAUGGAUUUCAUGACUUGCAAGCCAUCAUUAUUUAGUGAGAAGUAAUAUCUCGUAUGGGUUAUGGAAUGGAUAUCGGAGAAGGAUUCGGCCUUCAUAACAUGUGGAUGCAUGGGCAAACUACAAACCGCCUAUGAUGUGAGGCAGUUCAAGGGCACAUUACUUUGUUGGUGGAACACGUUUGGGAAAAUUAUGAGCCCCAACAAGCCAAUGCAGUUGACAUGGGACAAAUUCUUGACCCAUUUCAAGAGGAAGUUCUAUUAAGAUGAGAAAAUGUUAGAACUGCAAAAUCAGUUAUUGGCUUUGAUAAAGGGAAGCAUGUCUGUGGACGAGUACACCAACGCCUUCACGGAUAAAAUGGAGUUUGCCCUACGACUUGUUCCAGACGAACCGACCAAGAUUGAUAGGUAUACCAAGGGGAUACCUUGGGAAUACAAUGUGCCAGUUAAGCAGACACGUACAUUUGAGGUGACCGUCUGGGCUGCAAAGUCUGUUGAAGGGAUGAUGAAGAAAAGGAAAGCUGCCAAAGUUGAAGUCAAUGAGAAGAGGAGAACUGAGGUAAGCAACAACAACAAAGACAAGAAAAAGAAGUAUUCAAAGCCAGGAAAUGAGUCUGGAAGCGACCAGGAAGGGAAGUGGUGCGACCAGUGCAACAUGAGGAAUUCUGGGGACUAUGUCGUCUGCUACAAAUGCAAGAAGUCGGGGCAUAUCUGUACAAACUAUCUAGUAAAAGGAAAAGCUUGCUUCACUUAUGGAAAAGAAGGGAACAUGAACACGAAGUGCCGAAAAGCUGAGAAGAAAACCCCAAGGAUCCUACCAGCAAAGCCCAAGGGUAGAAGCUUCCAAAUGAUCCUUGAUGAAGCGUAUGUCGUUGCAGGAAAUCUAGAGUAGAAAACUGCUUAUUCGAAGAUCAAUAUAUAAGUAGUCGUCCUAUAUAGAUAGUAAUAGGAAGUGAAGCCCAAUAUAAUGGGCAUAGUGUAUAAAUAAAUGUUGUAAUCAUUUUUGAAAGUUAUAAAACUUCUAGUUAAGUUAAAAUGUUGUGUGGCAUUAAGAACUUAUGAUUUCAAAAUAAUGGUUUGGUUAAGAAUAAAUUAUGAUAUAGUGUGCCUGUAAGCAGAAUACUACACGAGAAAUAAUUUAUUCCAAAGGUUGGAAAUAGAAUUGUGGUUGAAGAUACGCAUGGAAGAAAUCGUAGUGGAGUUUAGGAAAUUUGUUUUAUAUGAUUAUUCUGACACAUCUAUUUUUGUUAAGCUGCUUUUGUGAUCUUUAGGAAACAGUAACUUGGGAAAACUACAAGAUAAAUUUUGGGACAAGUAUGUGUAGGUGUGGAAGGUAGUAUGGGCCCAUAAUACUGUGAAGCACAAGACUCAUACUUGGAUCAGGAGGAGUCACAAGGUCACUAAGGUACUAGUAGUUGAAUUGUUCGUACAUGUCCGUCGUUGCCAUCGUUUCAGUAACAGCUAAGAUGAUAAAAGUUAUUUUUGAUCCUAGUGGUCAUAUCGAAUCAAGUCCAACUAAUCUAUGAAGUAAGUUUGAUGUAUCGUUCGAUUUUAGAUCGAAGGAAGAGAUAAUCGAAGAAAUCAAUACGUCACACCCCCAAACCAAGGAUGGCGGAAACGUCCGGGGGUCGAGGACUUCAUGUAGAGUAUCACAACAACGAGUAUAAUAGUGCUCAAAGUAAAUACAACCAUCAUAAAUAUAACUGAAAAAGUUACACCAAAGUAUAUGUUUACAUGAUUCAAAUCAAUUACAUUAUGAUACAAAAUGAACUAUUUGACGAUUUAUCGUCCCAUCCUCAAAACGUGGUUGAUUUCCUGUUUCACUGAAUUCCUGAGAAUACAAGUAGUUUUGAAAAGUGUCAACACAAAGGUUGGUGAGUUCAUAAGCUUUUGACGGUAAGAGUUUGAAAAUCGAUCUUUGUAAAGAGAUGUAUCUUACCAAGAAAAAUCCAAUAUUUUCCUUACAUAAGUUAUGUGGUCCUAAAUACCAGGACCGAAAACGAACAAGUAUUUGUCAUACUUAAAGAUAUAAAAGUGGUUUUAAAUCGGCAUAAAACCCUUUCUGAUUUGAAAGCAUACAAGUAUUUUUCCAUACUUAAGGUAAUUUUUAUGAGUUAAAUCGACAUAACUAGCUAAUUUAAAGUUAGAACCCGUAAAUCUUAUGAUUUUUAAUACCACAUGUGAGCUAUCAUAACCAUACUUGACAUAGACGGCUUCGUAAUACGACGUUCUUCAGGCGUCGCCGUUAAAUGACACUUGUCACCACAGACCUGCCGGUCUAGCUGUUGCAAGCAGCUCUGGUGUGGGUUUGUCAAACCCAAUAUAGAUCUAUACACAACUAUCACGUUCUCCCUACAAGAGACUCUGGUUACAAUUUACAGGACUUUUUGACUUUGUUACUUUGGAAGUAACCCGAAGUGAAUGACUCACAAAUUUAUUCAUUAACAGAUUUACGUGAACUAAACUGAAAAACCUUUGAUAAAUAAGUUUGAGAAGUAAAUGAUACAUAAACUAUACCUAUUAUAGUUUAUCCAAAACGUUUGUAAUGUAUAAGAAUUCUUUUAUGAAUGCUUUAAUGCUAUGAAUCCAUAAACUAUGCUCAUUAUAGCUUAAUAUACGUGUUCUAAAUGAAUGAAUAAUCUUAUCAUGAAUGACUAUGUUUCAGUUUAUGAUGAUAAACUAACAAGGAAACACAUUCAAUAUUUAGAACUUAUCGUUAUACACUUUGCUCAACAUAAUACAAAGUGUUAUGAAAGUUAUAAGCUGUUAACAAAUUUUCAACCUUUCUACACUGUUUUUGAAAAGUCAUAGAAAAAUCAUACGAAGUUGAAAACUAAAUCCGUAAAUUCUGAGAGUUCCCAAAAUGUGUCUAGUUUACUCAUAAUUUUUAUCAUGAUUUUUAAUGACCUCCAACUUGGGUGAAAAAGUCCAUAAUCACAGACUGGUCCGGAUUGGUGUUUGAAAUGAUAGGCAGUUUUGUAAAAAUCACCAUAAAUUGUAGAAAAAUCGUAUGGAGAUGUGCAAGUAGUCAUUUUAAAGCUAAGAACUGGAACUACUUACACCUAAAACAGUUUUUCAAACAAAAAUGUUUAAGUUGUCCAAAACAGUCCGUGAAUGGAGUCCAACUUUUCUGAUGAAAGCUGUUAGAAAAAUUUAGUUAUGUUCUUGGUGUUUUAACUUGUAUUCCCCCCCUAAAAACUUAAGAAAACAUAAAAAUGUAGGGGUAUGAGCUCACCUUGAGUGAUUUCAGUAGAUGAGUGUUGAAGAAGAGAAGUGUUCAACUCAAGAACACUUGAAGAAUCACUUGAAGAUUCGAAGAUCUAACAAGAAUGUGAUGAUGUUUGUGUAAGCAAUCUAUGAUUUUGAGUAGGAGGAUGUGUAAUAAUCAUAAGAAAGAUGAUGAUACUUACUAAAUGAAGGAGAAAAGUCUUGGAGUAUGCCUUGAAGUUCUCGAAUUUUAGAGAGAAAGAUGAGAGAGUUUGGAGUGUGAUUCUUGGUGGAAAAAUGAGAGAAUGAAUGAAGUGUGAGGAGAGAGGGUGGAUGUUCCAGCUCUAAGAACGUGGGAAAUGACUGGAAAUAAUGAGAAAGGACUAUGAAAUGACUAGGGAUGGGCUGAUGGUGAAUAGUGACAUGGAGUGGGUAUGGGAGUGGUUGCUUGUGUCAUAGAAUAAAGGAAAGUCAACACUCCACCUCUUGUACUUCACCCACUCUUCUUGGAUAAGGUUUUAUCCUUAAAAACGUGAUUAAUUAAUAAUUAAGGGGUCUUAUAUGCUAAAAUAAAGUUUUAGGUGAAAAUCCCACGUUAAAAUAAUUAAAAACGAAGUUAAAAUGCAAAACUACUCGAAAACCGGGAGAAAAGAAGCUUCCCAGCGAGACCUCUCGGUCCUGGCCGAGGUUCGGUCCCCUCUGAUGCUGAGCCGGAAGCGAAGGGCUCGGUCCAAAGGCAUCAGAAGCGAAAUGGACCGAAGUGAACAGUACUUUCGGGUUCGGGUGUAUGCGAGGUUUGGUCGCGAGAGGACCCUUCGGGUUCGGUCCUCUUGGUUUUGGUCCCUAAGAGGACUUUCGGGUCUAAGAGGAGNGUCAAGGGUCGGAAUGACCCGAAUGACUUCAGAAAGUUGCGGGAACUUUUGAGAGAGAUUUGGGAGAAAUUUCACAUACUUGGAGAGAUUUGGGAGAUAUUUGACAUACUUGGAGAGAUUUCUCAUACAAAGAGAUAUUUGGGAGAGAUUUCACAUAAUUGGAGAGAUUUCUCAUACAAAGAGAGAUUUGGGAGAGAUUUCACAUACUUGGAGAGAUUUGGGAGAGAUUUGACAUACUUAGAGAGAUUUGGGAGAGAUUUGACAUUCUUGGAGAGAUUUCUCAUACAAAGAGAUAUUUGGGAGAGAUUUCACAUACUUAGAGAGAUUUGGGAGAGAUUUCAAAAUAGAGAGAGAUAGAGUGAAAACGAUUGAGAGAAGUUUCAUUUGUGACCUUUUUGAGUGUCCGGCUUCGCAAUGCAAGGUCCGUAAACCCUGUUAAGCCUUGUUUAAGGAUCUUACACACUCCCGAUGAGUAUGCAACAUUGUUUUAUCGGUUUGGCUCACCACGUACCACAAUUUUAGAUUAAGGAGAUCUAGAUGUACGCACUUUUCGAUUUAUGAUCUCUCAUUAGAAUAGCGAGUUGUUUAGAAAUUGCAUAACGUAAACUCUAGUACCCACGGGCAAAUUGAGUCGAAUGGUUUGACUUGUUGACUUCAGUUGACUUUGAAUUGACCGGAAAUUGACGGUUGUCACACAAUAUAAGUAUCGUAGUCGCCGUUAGGAUUAAGCAGUCUGUAGCUAAAAGUGCUAUCUGCUAGAUUGUGAUUAUAUCACAUUAGAACAUGAAGGAAUGUAUCCUUCAAGUGAGGAUCCGAUUCAAAGAGACCUCAGUCUAGCCUUUGCAUCAUAUGAUGAGAGGUUAUUAGAACAUGACCCAUCGGUCAGUUAUGAUAGUCAAAGUAAAGACCUUAUCUUAGGUUAAAUCAAUUCUAUAAGGAGCAAGAGCCUCUAAUGGAGACCAAAUUUAGAAGGAAGAACAUGUAUGAAAUAGAGAACCGUCAACAAUCAAGAAAUCUAAGAGUUUCAAAACUCAAUAGAAAAUACAUAUGAGUUACGUUUAUUACCUAAGACGGAAAGGUAACGUGCAAAGUCAUUAUACAAGCCUUAUUUUGUUGAUGAUUAUGGGAUGUAAUCAUAUUAAGGGGGAAGAUAAUUGUAAUGCUUGCAAAUUCAGGCUACACAUAAUAAGUAAUAAUUAUUAAAAUUAAAAUCCUUGAAUAGGAUAAUAUAUAGUUGUACACAAUGCAGAAUAUACAAUACAAGUUUCAUAUUAAGGAAAAAAUAGGAAAAAUUAGUCGAAUCGCCCGUAAAUCGUAAAAAUAAGUGUGCCAAAACAUANNNNNNNNNNNNNNNNNNNNNNNNNNNNNNNNNNNNNNNNNNNNNNNNNNNNNNNNNNNNNNNNNNNNNNNNNNNNNNNNNNNNNNNNNNNNNNNNNNNNNNNNNNNNNNNNNNNNNNNNNNNNNNNNNNUGAAAGUAUAAAUUUUGUAGAAAUCUGACUCCGUAUGAAUUAGAUAUGAUUUUUGUAAGAUAUAAAAGUCAACCGUACAUAAGGAAUGUGUGACGUAAAAACCUAUGAAGAGAAUGGUUGACUUUUAGCUAAAGUCACCAAAAGGAAAGUCGUAGUUCUCUUUAAGAUAGGAAUUUUGAGAAAAAGAAUGCCUACAAUGCAGUCCAUAUGAGAGAGUUAUGAUUUUAGCAAAAUCAUUUAAUCUUAUAAAAAUAGGGACUAAAAUGGAAUUAACCGAUGCAGUCUAAAGGAAAGUUGUAGAUCUCAUCGGGUGCUUUCCGAGGAUAUAAAGAACGUCGAAAACGAGCUCGUAUAAAUAAGUUACGAAAUUUACGAAAUCUGCAUAUUGUGCGGUGUGCGCCGGGUGCGCGACGCGCCCUUCUAGAAGGUGAAACAUGGACCACAGAGAAGCUGAUACAUGGCACAAAAUGGUCGGGGAGACGUCCCCUUAAAAUGUGCGACGUGCACCUCAAAAUCAACUAUAAAUAGGAGGCCAAGCCUCAUUCUUUCUCCCACAACUUCCCAAACACACACACACAUAGUCUCUCUCUCUCUCUAUUUCUUUUAGUUCCAGCUCAUUUUCUCUUACUUUUAGUCUUUGGUGAAGCCCUGCGAUCCCUAAAGUAGUAGUAGCUAGAGUGUAGAAGCUCUACCAGUGCAAUUGCCUAACUUUUGUCAGGGUGAACCUCUGUAUGUUAAGCUACACUCUAGUGUUUUUAGUGUAACUUAUAUUUAUAGUCAUAAGUCUUUAUUAUAAACCUAUAAAUUAGAUUUAUCAGUGAUUCCAAGUCAUAGUACUAAUAGAUCUACUUAUGGGAGAGGUGUCUAGAAUGGUCAUGUUGGCUUUGUUGUUGGAUUUUAGAAAGGCUAUACACUGAAAUGGUCUUGCCUCCCAACUGUCCUUCCUAGCUAAUCCUUACUUGAUAGAUCUUGAUGUGGACAUUCAGAUUAGUGAGGAAUCUAGAUUAUAAUUAUUAUAGUCACCAGGAUUACAAAACUAAACUAAGGCUUAGUACUUUAUGGAUCUAGAUCUUUCGAAAGUACGAAGUGAGGUGCUGUCGAAAUCGCCAAUCACCCACCCAAGUCAAGUGAGUGCAUUGUAAUGCCUGGAUCCUGGUAUGUAUUUUAAAUCAAAUUAUUAAUUUUUGCAAAGGGACUCGACGAGUUGGAGGCCCCAAACUCGUCGAGUAGGAAUGAAAUUUGGACACGGGACUUGAAGUCUACUCAGCGAGUUGAGAGCCUCAACUCGACGAGUAGGGCUGCCAGAGUGAAACCCUAAUUUUCAGGGUUUUGCAUCCUAUUUAAACACCUUAACCUCCAAAGUUCGGCCUCAUUUGCAGCCUCCAUCACCCCAAACCCUAGCCACGAAACCCUAAUCAACUUUUGAGUGUUCAUGACGAGUUGGGUACUCAUCUACAUUUUAGUACGACUUUUCACCCCCAGAUGGAUGGUCAGAGCGAGCGGACCAUCCAGAAUUUGGAGGAUAUGAUGUGAGUGUGUUCUUAGACUUUGGUGGUAGUUGGGAUACCUACCUUCCCUUGGCACAGUUUUCCUAUAAUAAUAUCUACCACACGAGUAUCGAUCGUCCUCCCUUCGAGAUGUUAUAUGGAAGGAAGUGUAAAACCCCGAUAUGCUGGGGUGAGGUUGGGCAGAGGGUCAUGGGGAGUACCGAAGUGGUACUCAAGACGACAGAGAGGAUUCAGCAAGCUUCAGACUGCUCAGAGUCGGCAAAAAAGUUAUGCUAACAAGCGUCGUUCAGACUUGGAGUUUCAGGUAGAAGAUAUGGUUCUCCUGAAGGUGUCACCUUGGAAAGGUGUCAUCCGGUUCAGGAAGCGGAAAAAGUUGGGCCCCAGGUACAUUGGUCCUUUUAGGGUUAUAGCCCGGGCAGGCAAUAUGGUGUAUAGGCUGGAUCUGCCAGCCAAGCAUAGUCAGAUCCACAACACUUUUCAUGUCUCCCAGCUACGGAAGUGCUUGGUAGAUGACUCUGCAGUGGUGCCUCUGGAGGAUAUUCAGGUGGAUGAUAGCCUGAACUACAUCGAGCGAACGGUAUCCAUCCUCGCCAGGAAGACAAAAGAUCUAAGAAACAAGAGGGUUGAGUUGGUGAAGGUGCAAUGGCAGCACUGCAAGGGCUCGGAAUAGACCUGGGAGCCGGAGGACCAGAUGAUGGAGCACCACCAAGAGUUAUUCCCAGACGCAACAGACUUCGAGGAUGAAGUCUAAAAUAAGUGGGGGAGAUUUUUUAAAACCCGGAUCUUGGUAUGUAUUUUAAAUCAAAUUAUUCAUUUUUGCAAAGGGACUCGACGAGUUGGAGGCCCCAAACUCGUCGAGUAGGAAUGGAAUUUGGACGCAGGACUAGAAGUCUACUCGACGAGUUGAGAGCCUCAAAUCGACGAGUAGGGCUGCCAGAGUGAAACCCUAAUUUUUAGGGUUUUUCACCCUAUUUAAACACUUUAACCUCCAAAUCUCGGCCUCAUUUGCAGCCUCCAUCACCCUAAACCCUAGCUACAAAACCCUAAUCCACUUUUGAGUGUUUGUGAGCCAUUGUUGUGUGUUCUUUGUGAUUUUGAAGCUUGAUAAGGAAGGAGAAGCUUGGGAAUUCAAGUGGAAGCUAGUAGAUCCAGAGUUUAAGCUGCAUUUCUGACUCAUUUGUGGUAUAAAGUUGAUACCUUGGCUUUCUAUUACUUAGAUCUUCAUUUAGGGUAGUAUGUUGUCACUUUUGGGCCAUAUUGAAGUCAUUUCCGGGAUUUAAGUAUAUCAUGAAUUUGUGACUUCAGAUCUAGGCACUCAUGAGCUUAUGAGGCUUAAAGUUGCCAGCUUUAUCAAGCCUUGGCCCUUACCCAUGCCCUAGACCUCUUAUAUAGCUUAGUUUUGGUGUUUCUAGCGUCAUGACACCAUUCAUGAACGUAAAGUUAGCAACUUUAUGUGGUAACUUAGUCCAAGGGGACCAGAUCUAUGGUUUAGAAGCAUUUAACUCGAUUGGAAGUGACUGAAUGGAUUUAGUGUAAAGGGACUCGGCGAGUUGUUCAUCUAACUCGGCGAGUUGGGUCGUGGUUCCCCAACCUUUUCUGUUACUGAGCAAACUCGUCGAGUCUAGGAGAUGACUCUGCGAGUUGGCCAUGGUUUUUGGGUUUUGAAGAUUGAAGAACUCGACGAGUUCAAGGAGGAACUCGACAUGUUGUGAGCGAAAUGUCCUGACUCACUUAUGAUGAGGAACUCGACGAGUUGGAUCGAGAUUUUCAGGGUUUUAUGGAUUAUGGAACUCGACGAGUUGAUGGACCAACUCGGCGAGUUGAGUCAACCAGGAUGUUGACUUUGACUUUGACCUUUGACCUGUGACCAAAGUUGACCCAUAAAAGGGAUAUGAGUAUGAAAAGGGUAAUUAAAGGAAAUGCUUAUGUGUAGGAGUCUGAGAGGGAUUGAUUUCAAAGCAGGAGCUUUUGCACCUAUUUCCCAGUUAUCGAGGUGAGUUGCCUUCCAGUAGGAGUGGGUCGAAGGCACCAAUGCCGGCCCACUAGUAUUGAUUACAGUUGCGAUGAUUGUCUUUGUGAUAAUUGUCUGGUAUGCCACUAUCUGUUAUGAUUUAUGUGCUAGUAUGUUAUGUUAUUAUGUGAUAGUGGUAGGGGUGAAAUAGUCAUCGGUUACCGGUUGAAAGAGACCGAAGGGGAGGCCGGCACCCAAAUAUGUUAGGCAGUAUAUGAUUUAUAUGUAUAUGCUAGGGUAUAUAUGGUAGUGGUAGGGGUGAAAUAGUCCCCGAUUACCGGUUGAAAGAGACCGAAGGGGAGGCCAUCACCCAGAUAUGUUAGGCAAUUACCGGUUAAAAGAGACCAAAGGGGAGGCCAACACCCAACUAUGGUAGGCAGUUACCGGUUGAAAGAGACCGAAGGGGAGGCCAGCACCCAGAUAUGGUAGGCAGUUAUCGGUUGAAAGAGACCGAAGGUAGGCCAACACCCAAAUAUGUUAGGCGUUAUGUGAUUAUAUGGUAUGUGGUAUGAUGGGGGAACUCACUAAGUUUUGUGCUUACAAUUUUCAGUUUUUGUUUCAGGUCCUUCUUCUUCGAAGGGAAAGGAGCCAGCACAAUAGCAGCACAUCGCACCCACGAUUUCCCGCACAUGAGAUUCUUGGGAUUUGUACUCUGACAUUAUGUUCCUAUGAUAUGUUUUUGAGAUGGCUGACUUAUGGUUUUCAUGAUAUGAGAUAACAUUGAUGGCAUUUUCAGUAAUCUGUUUUGAUGAAUCUUUAAAUUAAAAAUGAAAUUUUUGGUCUUCAAACUUGGGAUGUUACAUGCAUAGUCCCUUUUAUGAACAUGAUUUAAUAUAAAUAUUAAAUCAAAGUAUUAAAUAUAUGUUGGGAAUCGUAUAUGAAUUAUAUGCUUAUUGUCUGGAUUUAUAUGUUAAUUUAUGUAUAUAUUGUGCUAUCAAACCAAAUAAGGUUUUAUUUUACGUUAGGACUAAAUAGAUAAUAUCAUAUAAUAGUAUUAAAAGUAGCAUUGUUGAGAAGAUAAAAGAAUAAUAAUACUUGAUGCUCUGUAUGGAAUAUAAAUACAUUAGAGAUAGGUUAGUGUCACCCAAUAAUAAAGUUGGCAUUAAAAGUUGGUUACAUGCAUUGUAAUCUAGUCUAGGGAUAAACUUGACUUGUGGAAGGUACCUAGUUCAAUUAAGUUUGAUAUAAGGUAGUCUCAUUAGGAGAAUGUGUGUAACCUAAGGACGAAGAGUAAAGUUCUGUUCCGUGACACUUUCAAGUGUUAAUUUACGGUAGCCCCGUACGGGAGUAUGAUAUAGUCUUCCCGUUGGGAUGACCAGAUAUGGUUGGUCCCGAUCAGACAACUAUAAUAGUAUGCCUACAUAUUCUUGAAUAACCAGAAAUAGUAGGUCAUGAUCAGACAACUGUAAUGGCAUGUAUGUAUAUUCUUUGUGACAUACAUAAGCCAAGGAAGCGCCUAGCUGUGUCGUCAAUCUUUUAAUGGUUCAUCAGGCGAGAUAAUUUUCCCCUGAUAAUCAUGGCUAAGGAUUUUUGAUGAUCGGUAGGAAUGGAUAUGUACAAUGUAAGUCUGUAUGGAUAUAGUAUGGUAAUGGUUGGUUUUGCAGGUCUGAUAAUUUAGGAAUAUUAUCAUAUCAAUAUUGUGGGAUUAAAAUCCAUAUGUAUCUCACUUGGUUUCUCCAACCUGACUCAUUCAGUUUAUAUGCAUCACAAGUAUCAAGACUUAAGCUACUGGAACUUUGUUAUGAUGUUCGGUGAUUAAAAGACAACCUGCAAUAGUAUUCAAGACCAUCAUGUCUUUACGUUGUAACUUAUGUAUCUGUAUUGAUUAUGACAUCUUUAGGGUUUUAACAUUUUAAAAACAAACAUUUGUAAUCAAAAUGAUCUUUUAUACCGAGAUUUUCCGUAAAUAUAAAUAAACGAUUUUUAAAACGUAAAGAAAAAUUUUAAUCGGUUAUAAAAGAUGUCAUACAGUCAUCUUCAAACCAUAAAUAACAAUGGAACCAAAUAAUUUUCAUUGAAAAAAAAAGACAACAAAAGCAAACAAUGUCACUAAUCUGUCAAUUUCAAACCUAAGGCCAAUACAAUGUCACUAAUCUGUCAAUUUCAAACCUAAGGCCAAUACGGCCAAUACAACAGAUGUCAUACAGUCAUCUUCAAACCAUAAAUAACAAUGGGACCAAAUAAUUUUCAUUGAAAAAAAAAGACAACAAAAGCAAACAAUGUCACUAAUCUGUCAAUUUCAAACCUAAGGCCAUUACAGCUUUCAAUCAAGGCAAGUAUGACCCACAUAGUUAAAGUAAACCUAAGCAAACCUUUGUUUUAAAAAUUACAAAUACACUCCUAACGGAUAAAUUAUAUGGAAGAUAUACUUUUGAAGUUGAUCAACCAUUAUGAAUAAUCAUGCACCCAUCCAGCUUUUCAUAAAGAUUAGAUUGUUUUCACGAUUAUUAAGUUAUAAAAGAAAGAGUAACUUUACAUGUUGCUUCAAAUGUUAAGUAACAAUAAAGUUAGAAAAAACAUCCCAAACAUAAAUAACGCCAUCACUUUCCUCAUUAUACAGUUAAAUAAAGUUUUUAUGUUGAAAUUUUUAUGAGAAAGGAAGUUUAGUAGUAUUCAUGUGAGCCGAAUGUUUGUCUACGAGUAAUUUGAUCAAGGGAGAUUCAACAUCUGAGUCUUUGUUGUCCCGAUACACGGAGACUUUUCCAGAGUUGGUGACAAGUAUUACUACCUCUUUACGACUUGACAGCUCAUUUGCUACAACCGCAUUCAUUUUGUACCUUUUUAGAGCUGCAUCUGCCUUCUCUAAAAGAAUCUCUUUGUCUGUCUCCAACUGAUCAUGUAAAUAAAUGUAACCAACCAACCCAAACAUAUGUUUUUAUUUAAUAUUUCUACAAAAUAAAUAAAUAUCUGUAUGCAGUGAGUGAGGGCUUAUAUAUCUAUCUACCUUGAAUGAUACGCAGAAUGCUGUGGGGGCCCACACUUUCCGCAAAACCGAAAGCAUCUUCGGGACUUGGGCAAGCCGCAUAUCCAAAGGACCAGAUGCAGACUGAAUUUUAUGUACUGCCUACAUUUAUAUAUUAAAAAAAAAUUACAUUUAUUUACCUCUUUUUCUUUUUUUUUUUAAAAUUUAUGUAUUAUAAAUAUUACCAUGCUCUCCCAUGGAACAUAAAAGUCAGAUACCGCAGCUGCAAGAUAAAACAUACCACUUGGUCCAAGCAUCUUCAUUGAUGUUGCAAUCAACCGUAAAAUCUGCUCAUUAGUAGUAAUAGCUGUAAUUACAAAACAACAUUUCUGAUUUUGGACACGAUGGUCAUUUUUGCAUUUACAUUUCCAUAAUUUUCUUGUCAUUUUCAUAUGAAAGAUGGCCAUUUUGCAAAGAAAAAACAAAAAGUCAAAGCUUUAUAUGACUUAAUUAAAAAAGAUGAUAGAAACAAAAUAAAUGAUAUCCAUGUAUGUUAGGUUGAGUUUUGAUGAUUAAUCUUGCAGACUUGUUAUGAUUUAAAAGGUCAACUUUCAAUGCCAAAACUUCCAAAUUUUAAAAAUUCAGCUUUAUGUUUUUACUCAUGCUAACCUGAAGAUACUCAAAGAUGGUUGUGAAGGGAAGUUUCAGCAAGAAACCUCCUGAAACAGCCUGUCAUGAAAUGAAACCUUUAAGCAUAUAUAAGAAACGCAGCUUUGAACAAGAGAAAGAGAUAUGGCUCCUACUGCAUGAUGUUUGCUAAUUGCCGUCUUAACUGCUUCGGAGUGCGACUCGUGCACUGUAAAAUUUUGUAAAACAAACAAAGUAGAUCAUUUUAUAAAUUAAUAUUGUAUUUGUUUUUUUUUUUUUUUAACAAACCUUGUACUUGUAUGCAUGAAUCAUCAUCGGUAACCCGGAAACAUUCGAGUAGCGGAUCUUCCGGAAGUGAUCUACAAUAUGGCUGGCAGGUUCCCCUGCAGAAUCACUUUCUCAGUUAAUAAUUUUGUAUGUUUGUCUAACUAUAACCGGUGUUAUAAAAUAAAAUUUAUCCACCUCCUAUACAGAAAGAUGACUGAAUAUCCAGAUUUCAGAAAGUACCUGCAUAUAAUCAACAAACCAUCCACAUUGUCUUUNUUUGUUUUUUUUUUUAAAAAAAAAAAAAAAAAAAAAAAAAAAAAAGGAGAAACUUGAAGGAAGUAGGGGUAUACUCGGUAGACGUUGCUCCUCUAUGCCCAGAGCUGAAGUUAUCGAUGUAACGGACACAUCGUUGCUCUAAAGGAACAGUGGUACCACCAGAUGUCACACAUACAACCCUUCUAGGCCCACCUCCACUUCCUAACACCACAUCACAAAACAUUCAAACAAGAUCAACCCAAACUAAAUAUACAUACAUAUACAGGUGAAGUGAACAUGCCUGAUAAUGAGGAUUUCUGAUCAAUAAAUUUGGUUAAUUUUCUGGUUAUGAUAUCACCAUCUUUCAGAAGGGGUGCUGUGUCAAAGAAGGAGGUUGUUUCAUCCACAGUAUCCAUGGAAAUAGCUACUGAAAUAUUAGGAUGGAGGAAAGGGUUUUAGCCAUAUAACACAAUCAAAGAGAUCAUUGGUUUUACAAAAAUAAAAACGCCCCCAAAAGAACAAGUUCACAAAAGGCAAACAGCCAACAUAGAUCAUUGGUACUUCCCAUGUGCAAGAAAUUAUGUUUAAUCAGCCAUUUUCAUAUACAUUAUACAAAGCAAUCAAUAAAAAAAAGAGUACUUCGUUUCAAAGCAGUAUGAUCUAAAUAGAAAACACCACAGGGGAAGGCAUUACAGCAAUCAAUUGCAUAUACAAUCAAUCCAAUUCAUGGUACCCAAAUGCAAAACCAUUUUCAAUUAUCUGCUUAACUGCAAUUAACCACAUCAGGUAGUAAAUACAUACCCAAUUAAUAUUAAUUCAGAGACAAAAACUUCCCGAUCAGGUAGCUAUUAUCAACUUGAAGUAAAGUUUUGCAGAAAUUGCAUAUAUACAGAUAUUUUGGCAUAAUAACUCAAACGAAAAGCCAGGAAAGGCACAAAACGGUCCAUGAACAGCCUAGUACAUACAUCUGUGUCUAUAAACUGAGACAGACAGUACCUUAUUCAGCCGCUUCAGAUCAACCAGCUUGAUGCAAACAAAAAUGCCAGUACCGAUCUAAAUAUAAUGGAGAGAGAGAGAGAGAGAGAGAGAGAGAGAGAGAGAGAGAAUUAUUGAUGAUGUUGGUGAUAAAUUUAAUGGCCGUCAUUUCCCGCCAUUCUUACGCCCAUAUUAAGAUAAUGGAGCUGCUUAAUUAUUAAAACCCAAAAACAAAAUAAGGUUCGCAGUGGAUGGAAAAUUGAUGAAGGAUAUCAUCCCAAAAGUAAAACCCUACUUCUUACAAUUAAAAAAUGUCUAGAUAAUAAUUAAAGCAAUCAAGGAUAUCACGGGAUUUGCAACUAAAAAAACACAGCAAACGACGAAGAAAAGAAGAAAACCCCUACCCCUAAAUCGCCAAAAGAAACUAAUCAAAUAGCAGUAGGGGAGGGAGUUUGAGGCAGAUGCUGAUAAUGGGUGGCGGUUGGAGAAGUACAGAACAAUCACGGAUCGGCGAAGUCGGUCGGGUUUUUAGGCUGGAGGGUACCACUUAC